GGACCAAGAAGUAAUGAGCGCCGAAGUCCGUGACAAAUUGAGGAAGGGUGAGCAGCUUCCUGUAUCUCUCACCAAAAUCAACAUGGUUGAUUUACCACUAGGUGCUACUGAGGACAGGGUGUGUGGGACAAUCGACAUUGAGAAAGCUCUUACCGAGGGUGUGAAGGCAUUCGAACCUGGUCUUCUUGCUAAAGCUAACAGAGGAAUACUUUAUGUCGAUGAGGUUAAUCUUUUGGACGACCAUUUGGUAGACGUUCUUUUGGAUUCUGCAGCAUCAGGAUGGAACACUGUUGAAAGAGAGGGGAUAUCAAUUUCACACCCUGCUCGAUUUAUCCUUAUUGGUUCAGGUAAUCCCGAAGAAGGAGAACUUAGGCCACAGCUUCUUGAUCGAUUUGGAAUGCAUGCCCAAGUCGGGACUGUGAGAGAUGCAGAACUGAGAGUGAAGAUCGUCGAGGAAAGAGGUCGUUUUGACAAGAACCCCAAGGAAUUCCGGGAAUCAUACAAGGGGGAGCAAGAAAAGCUCCAGAGCCAAAUCACCUCAGCCAGGAGCGGGCUUUCUUCUGUUACGAUUGAUCAUGAUCUUCGUGUUAAAAUCUCUAAGGUCUGUGCAGAACUGAAUGUCGA
rnacentral:lncRNA from 1 species